CCAUGGCGUCUGGAGAUGUCGUCUUCCCGAUUGAGCGUUCUCCGUCGGCCCUUCUUCGCUUUUGUUUUCCGUUUCUUGAUCGAUUGAUUGUUGAUGGGGGCCGAUUGCUUUGUUUGUCUUGAUUUUGUGAAGCAUCUUCUGGUUGCAGAGAUCCACUUCUAUGUUGCGGGAGAUUCUUGAGGGUUUCGCUUACCCUACGAUUUUUAUUGGCGUCUGGCGAUAUCAUCUUCUUCCGGAGAGAAGACGUGGUUGUAGCGAUGAUCCCGAUUGAACGUUUCUCCAGAUCCCCCUGUUGCGGAGAUUUUUGAGGCUCAUUCUGGAUUCUUGUUGUUCGGUGAAUUGGGAGUGUGGCUUCUUUCUUUCAUAUGAGGAUGCUGUCGCAGCAAGUGUUUGGUUGAGCGCUCCUUUUCUGACCGGUUGAUCUUUCUGUCACGAGCUGUUUCUGGAUUUUGUAAUUUGGUGAAUCCGCAGUGGCUUCUUUCCCCUUAGAGCGAAACUGCUCUUUCUCCUUUUUGGUUUCCAUUUCUUGAUUCAUUGUUAUCUCGGUCUUGAUUUUGUGAGGCGUUAUCUGGUUGCAGAGACCCACCCCUGUUGCGGAGAUUCUUGAGGGUUUCGCGCUUGGCCUACGAUGCCUAUUGGUUAUCGGAAUUAUUCAGUUUACCUCUUGUCCUUUGGUUGCUUAGUGAUUCAUCGACCGAUCGAUUGAACUUUGCGCUGUUGUUUUGACCAGAUCAUUCUGGAUUCUUGUUGUUCGGUGAAUUGGGAGUGUGGCUUCUUUCCUCUUGGAUCAUAUUUCCUGACGUCAGAGGAUGUCCUCAUGGGAAGUGCUUGGUUUAACUCCUCCUUUGACCCUUUAUUGAUACAAUAACCUAUCGAUCUUUCUGUUAUUUGGUGAAUUUGCAGUUGGCUUCUUUCCCCCUCAGGGAGAAAUUGCUUGUCUGAGGAUGUCAAGGACGAUGAAUACUAAAACACGGGUGUUUCGUUUUUUUGGAGCAUUGAUGAUCAUUUUGCUUUCAUCUUUUUGGCUGAGAUGAUGAAAGUAGUCUUUCAUGCGAUAGGCUGAAAUUUGGUGGUCUUGAUUGGAAUUUGUUCUUCGGUUUUCUAUUUUUGGGGGUUGAUUAUCGUCUAGUCCUGAUCCUCUCGCAGGUCGGAGUUUUGCAAGACUUGACAAGUGGUGAUCUGGUGCGAGCUGACGAUUGUCUGAAAUUGGAUAAGCUCUGUCUCUCUAGGCAGUAUUGGUUUGAAUGAAAUUUGUUCUCCACUCCCAUAAUUUUCCAAUUAAUGCGAAACCCGAUUCUCAUUCCUUCGGAGGUCUGUUUUGUCGAUGUAUGAUCUGUCAUGGUUCUUUCUUUGCAAGGUGUAAGCACCACAACAGAUCACUAUCCAAUCCAGAUCCGCUUGCUAAUGUCUCCUUCCUAGAAAUGAUCCCUACCUUCUGUUCUCAUCCUUCAAUCUCAUCGGGAGAUGUCGUUAUGGGAAGUGUUUGGUUUAGCUC